UACGUAGGGUGCGAGCGUUAAUCGGAAUUACUGGGCGUAAAGUGUGCGCAGGCGGCCGCGCAAGUCGAGUGUGAAAUCCCCGAGCUUAACUUGGGAAUUGCGCUCGAAACUACGUGGCUGGAGUGUGGCAGAGGAAGGUGGAAUUCCGCGUGUAGCAGUGAAAUGCGUAGAGAUGCGGAGGAACACCGAUGGCGAAGGCAGCCCCCUGGGCUAACACUGACGCUCAGGCACGAAAGCGUGGGGAGCAAACAGG
rnacentral:rRNA from 1 species